UUUUUGAUGUUUUUGUAAUGUGAGUAAAUCUUCGGUAUUAUUUAUUUGCUUGGUUAUUUUAGGAGUGUUUCUGGGUGAGGGAGAGAGGAGUCAUCAUCCAGGUAAAGUGACGUGGAUCAGUGGACACACUUGUCUCCCCUUUAAAGGAGAUAGAGAGACGAUCCGAGUCAUCCCUAAAUAUGGGCAGGAUAUCAGUCUUGGACUGUCUAACCUGCCGGAGCAGCACUGAGUGACCACCACACAUGGGCAUGUUCCUGCAACAUUCAGCAGCUUUGCUUUUGUGUCAAAUGUCCAACAGCUGGAGAGGAAACUAAACCAGUACUGGGCUGUUUCACCAACACGUGCCAGAUGCUGUUCCUUCAUGGUGACAUCAACAGAGACAGCCCCGCCCACCUAAUGAUCUCGCCAUUGAUCAUGAU